rnacentral:rRNA from 1 species
UGGUGGAGUGAUUUGUCUGGUUGAUUCCGAUAACGAGCGAGAUCUCUGCCUCCCAAUAGCCCCUGGUCUCGCACAUAUGUAGAGUGGCGCGAUCCUCGGAUUGCAUACAAGUCGCUCGAGAGUGCCAGGUUCUUUUAUAGUUGCUUCUCUGAGGAGCUGCGUACGCCUCAAAGUAUGCGCAUGCUAGAGCCAACAG